rnacentral:rRNA from 1 species
ACACCGGCAGCUCUAGUGGUAGCAAUUUUUAUUGGGCCUAAAGCGUCCGUAGCCGGUUUAAUAAGUCUCUGGUGAAAUCCUGUAGCUUAACUGUGGGAAUUGCUGGAGAUACUAUUAGACUUGAGACCGGGAGAGGUUAGAGGUACUCCCAGGGUAGAGGUGAAAUUCUGUAAUCCUGGGAGGACCGCCUGUUGCGAAGGCGUCUAACUGGAACGGUUCUGACGGUGAGGGACGAAAGUUAGGGGCGCGAACCGGAUUAGAUACCCGGGUAGUCCUAACUGUAAACGAUGCGGACUUGGUGUUGGGGUGGCUUUGAGCUGCUCCAGUGCCGAAGGGAAGCUGUUAAGUCCGCCGCCUGGGAAGUACGGUCGCAAGACUGAAACUUAAAGGAAUUGACGGGG